rnacentral:misc_RNA from 1 species
AAGUCGUAACAAGGUUUCCGUAGGUGAACCUGCGGAAGGAUCAUUAACGAGAUAAUGCUACUGCUCUACUGCGGUGGAGUGUAGUCAUUCAAUAAUGAUAAUAAUUUGUUGAACGAUAGUCGCUCGUUUUAGCGUAAAGCUAAAAAUUGAAUUAUGUUAACGAGUAUGCUAGUUGGUUAAUGAUGUGCGUGCGUGCUUAAUUGCGUGCAUGUACAUAGAGCGACCGAACUACUGACUGCUGCUCGGGGUACGGCCCGUAGUGUAAUGCUAUGGUGAGUCGUACCUGUGUCAUUUUAAAUUUGAGUAAUAAAAUUCGCGUACGCGUGUUUAAGCGCGAGUACGUGUAGACUUGUGAAAGAGAGAAUAAUAAUAAAAUGCAUAACUGCAAACGGUGGAUCACUCGGCUCACG